rnacentral:lncRNA from 1 species
CCCCUCUCUUUUUCUUGUCCAAGAAGAAAUGCCUCAAAACACAAUAUAUACAUACCCACGUACACAAAAAAGGGAUGAACAGUAACCAAAAAAAGAAAAAAUCAGCUCACCUCUCUCUACCUCUCUCUCUAAAAAACCUCCGGUGGCCGCCCUCUACCGCCGACGUCGGAGCAGACAUAGCCGCCGCCUUCGCUCAAGACCAUCGCUUCUCCAUCCGGUCAACGACGACAGCCAGCCCGUCGUUGCCGAAAUCGGCUCGUCCGUCAAACCCCCUCCGUUCGCCGGCGAAACAGCCACCGCAGGCGAACACCGUUCGCCGGUUAGGGACCCGAACCGGCCGCCGCCUUCUCUCGGCUGUGAUCUCUCUUCUCCGGCGAACUAGCACCGGCACCGCUCCGUUCUCCGCCUUCCAAAUUUGUCUCGUCACCGCUUAGAUCUGCCUCCGCCGUCAACACCUAAACCCCGAACGGCAGUCAUCAUAGCCGAUCAGCCGCCGCCGUCUCUCCGUCAUCGGAGCUCCCGGGAGCUCGAUCUAUUUUGGUUUCCUGCUGUUUGUUGGUUGAUCUUGGUGUCGUUUAUUUCUUGGUUCGUCGUCGAUAGUGGAUUUUGAGUCGUCUUUAUCGAAUCGCGUCGUCGUUCUUGGUUGGGUUUCGUAUAGUAAAGUUUUUCUUCACUGGUUUUGGAGCUGUCUGGUUAUUAUUUUAAUAUCGAGUUUGGUUUAUUCGUUGUGAGGUUCUCCGAUCGAGUAUUUUGGUCUUCGAAUUUCUU